rnacentral:piRNA from 1 species
UCCAGGAUCAGCAUAGUUCAUGAACGGAU